GGCGAUUCCUCCAGCUGGAGGGCCAGCAGCGCCUCCUCCUCCCCCCACUGCUACCCCGUUUGCGUGUGUAUGUGUGUGAGUGUGUGUGUGUGAGUGUGAGUGUGUGUGUGGCCCCUGGCGGAGCCGCGCGAGCCCUCAGAGCCCCUCCCUCCGUCCCUCCCACACUCUGCCCCCUCCCCUCCCCCAGCCCUGCCUGUCCCCACUUGAAACUCCUUUAAUGAAAGCAAGCUGGUGGGGCUGCGUCUCACUUGGUGAGUGUGAGGCCGGCUGGGCGGGCAGGAGGGCAGGGGCCCGGCCAGCACCCCUCCCACAGGCCAGCGCGCCCGCAGCCUCCCUCGACUCGUCCCGGCUCCUGGGCUGUGCAGCCUCGUCCAGCCUCGGUGGUGGGGACCCAGGCGUCCGGGAAGCUCGCUCUGCGGCGCCUCUGGGAAUCACCAGACUUUUGGGCUGGGAAGGACCUCGGCAGCGGGAGAACUCAAGUUCCUUUGCAAUUUGGGAGACUGAGGCUGCGGGACGGGAAGCCACUUGCCCAAGAUCAGCCAGGAGGUCCCCUCACUGUCUCAGGAGGGUUCCUCAGAGUAGCAGCUCUCCCACCUCCUUUGCCAGGGGUUCCCUUGGCUGCAGACCAAAGCCUGUUCUUUCUUUGCUGCUGGGAUUCCUGCAUCAGGUGAGAACCAAGAUAUUGUUGAUAUAGUCGUGAGUGUUACCCACCUUGCUUGUGAACAUGCUGCUAUUUCCUGCGGUAUGACUCCCCAAAUCGUGGUUAAUGGUGGGCUCUUUGUGGGUAUGUGUGUGUGCUGAUAGGAUUGCACAGGGGCGUGCAGUAGUGAUGAGGAGAAACUAGGCAGGGUGGUAGCCUGGGGCCAACGUGUGCUAAGGACACAGUAUCAAAGAAUCAUAGAACUACUGAGGGACACUGUCAAGAAUCACGAGAUCAUUGGCUGGGAGCUUAAAAAUCAUGGAGCCCAAACUCCCCUUUUUACAAGUGAGGAAACUGAGGCCCAAUAUUGCCAGCUUAAGGCUUUACAAGCCGUAUAAUCAGAGCUGGGGCUCAAAGCCCUCUUCCAAACCCAGGCCUCGGCAUCAUUCCACACAGUUCCCCUCAACAAAUCAUGGAAUCGAGGAAUCAUCGGAUGAAUCCAAUACAGACUCUUGGCACUGAAGACCUGAGGCUCAGACAAACAUUGGAAUCAGAGGAUCUUAGAAUCACACAAUCAAAGAAUUGAAGCAUCUUAGAAUCAUAGAAUCUUGGAAUCCAUCAAUGAAUUGAAGAAUCUGGGGAUUUUAGGGAUUAUGGCCACUAAAUUAGAGAAUUUUAAUGUAACACGGCAACUGGUCACACAGUGGACAGAGCAUCAGCCUUGGAGUCAGCAAGACUUGAAUUCAAAUCUGGCUUUCGACACUCAUUAGCUGUGUGACUCUGGGCAAGUCACUGCACCCUGUCUGCCUCAGUUUCCUCAUCUGUAAAAUGAGCUGGAGAAGGAAAUGGCAAGCCACUUCCAUAUCUCUUCCAAGAAACCCCCAAAUGGGGUCACAAAGAGAAGGACACGACUGAAAAACAACUCCACAACGAGAGAAUAUUGGAAUCACUCGAUCUCAGAAUCAAAACCGUACACUUGCUGAGUGAGAGAGUCUUAGAACUAUAGAUUCUUACCAUUGAAGACAUUUGGAGCCUUAGAAUGAUACAAUCACCA
ensembl:lncRNA